AUUGAACGCUGGCGGCAGGCCUAACACAUGCAAGUCGAGCGGAUGAGGGAAGCUUGCUUCCCGAUUUAGCGGCGGACGGGUGAGUAAUGCCUAGGAAUCUGCCUAUUAGUGGGGGAUAACGUUCCGAAAGGAGCGCUAAUACCGCAUACGUCCUACGGGAGAAAGUGGGGGAUCUUCGGACCUCACGCUAAUAGGUGAGCCUAGGUCGGAUUAGCUAGUUGGUGAGGUAACGGCUCACCAAGGCGACGAUCCGUAGCUGGUCUGAGAGGAUGAUCAGCCACACUGGAACUGAGACACGGUCCAGACUCCUACGGGAGGCAGCAGUGGGGAAUAUUGGACAAUGGGCGAAAGCCUGAUCCAGCCAUGCCGCGUGUGUGAAGAAGGUCUUCGGAUUGUAAAGCACUUUAAGUUGGGAGGAAGGGUUGUAAGCUAAUAUCUUGCAGCUUUGACGUUACCAACAGAAUAAGCACCGGCUAACUCUGUGCCAGCCGCCGCGGUAACAC
rnacentral:rRNA from 1 species